rnacentral:rRNA from 1 species
UACGGAGGAGGCAAGCGUUAUCCGGAAUUAUUGGGCGUAAAGCGUCCGCAGGUGGCACUUCAAGUCUGUCGUCAAAGACUGGGGCUUAACCCUGGAAAGGCGGUGGAAACUGAAGCGCUAGAGUGCGGUAGGGGUAGAGGGAAUUCCCGGUGUAGCGGUGAAAUGCGCAGAUAUCAGGAAGAACACCCGUGGCGAAAGCGGCUCACUGGAUCUCUUCUGACGCUGAGGCACGAAAGCUAGGGUAGCGAACGGG